UGUAGGCGGAUAUUUAAGUAGAAAGUGAAAGGUUGGAGCUCAACUCCAACAUUGCUUCCUAUACUGGAUGUCUUGAGUUUCGGAGAGGAAGAUGGAACGACACGUGUAGCGGUGAAAUGCGUUGAUAUGUGUCGGAACACCAAUAGCGAAGGCAAUCUUCUGGACGAAUACUGACGCUGAGACACGAAAGCAUGGGUAGCGAACAGGAUUAGAUACCCUGGUAGUCCAUGCCCUAAACGAUGUUCACUAGGUGUCGGGGAUUUUUCUUCGGUGCCGCAGCUAACGCAUUAAGUGAACCGCCUGGGGACUACGGCCGCAAGGUUGAAACUCAAAGGAAUUGGCGGGGGCCCGCACAAGCGGUGGAGCAUGUGGCUUAAUUCGAUGCAACGCGAAGAACCUUACCAGGGUUUGACAUGUAACUGCAAGCUCCCGAAAUGGAGUCGCUUUCGAAGGUGUUACACAGGUGGUGCAUGGCUGUCGUCAGCUCGUGUUGUGAAAUGUUGGGUUAAGUCCCGCAACGAGCGCAACCCUUAUGUUCUGUUGCCAGCGGGUAAUGCCGGGAACUCGGAACAAACUGCCUCUGUAAAGAGGAGGAAGGUGGGGAUGACGUCAAGUCUCCAUGCCCCUUACACCCUGGGCUGCACACAUGCUACAAUGGCCGGUACAAAGAGCAGCGAUGCCGCGAGGUGGAGCAAAUCUCAAAAAGCCGGUCUCAGUUCGGAUUGGAGUCUGCAACUCGACUCCAUGAAGUCGGAAUCGCUAG
rnacentral:rRNA from 1 species